GAUGAACGCUGGCGGCGUGCAUAACACAUUCAAGUCGAACGGUGACGAGGACUUCGGUCCUCUGAUCAGUGGCGGACGGGUGAGUAACGCGUGAGCAACCUGCCCUAUAUUGCGGGAUAACAACCGGAAACAGUUGCUAAUACCGCAUGACGUAUUCGGAUCGCAUGUUCUGAAUACCAAAGAAUUUUGAUAUAGGAUAGGCUCGCGUCCGAUUAGGCAGUUGGUGGGGUAACGGCCCACCAAACCGACGAUCGGUAGCCGAACUGAGAGGUUGGACGGCCACAUUGGAACUGAGAUACGGUCCAGACUCCUACGGGAGGCAGCAGUGGGGAAUAUUGGGCAAUGGGCGAAAGCCUGACCCAGCGACGCCGCGUGAGGGAAGAAGGUCUUCGGAUUGUAAACCUCUUUCAGCAGGGAAGAAGCAAGUGACGGUACCUGCAGAAGAAGUCACGGCUAACUACGUGCCAGCAGCCGCAGUAAUAC
rnacentral:rRNA from 1 species